UACGGGGGGGGCAAGCGUUGUUCGGAAUUACUGGGCGUAAAGGGCUUGUAGGCGGCCAACUAAGUCAGACGUGAAAUCCCCAGGCUUAACCUGGGAACUGCGUCGGAUACUGGAUGGCUUGAAUUCGGGAGAGGGAUGCAGAAUUCCAGGUGUAGCGGUGAAAUGCGUAGAUAUCUGGAGGAAUACCCAUGGCGAAGGCAGUUCACUGGGCAUUAUCUGACGCUGAGGCGCGAAAGCGUGGGGAGCAAACAGG
rnacentral:rRNA from 1 species